rnacentral:tRNA from 1 species
GGCAGUUUAGCUUAAUGGUAAAGCACUUGACAUGUAAUCACAGGGAUGUGAGUUUGUGUCUCAUAGCUGGCU